GAUGAACGCUGACCGAAUGCUUAACACAUGCAAGUCUUUGGCGAAGCUGUGCUCGCCCAGCCUAGCCAAGGCGGACGGGUGAGUAACGCGUAAGGAACUUGCCCUGCAGUCAGGGAUAACAGACGGAAACGACUGAUAAGACCUGGUAAAGUCAGGCGGACUCAUGUCCAGCCUGAUGAAAAGAGAUGCUGCAGGAGAGCCUUGCGUCCUAUUAGCUUGUUGGUGGGGUAACGGCCCACCAAGGCGAUGAUAGGUAGCCGGCCUGAGAGGGUGGACGGCCACAAGGGGACUGAGAUACGGCCCUGACUCCUACGGGAGGCAGCAGUGGGGAAUAUUGGACAAUGGGGGCAACCCUGAUCCAGCAAUUCUGUGUGCACGAUGAAGGUUUUCGGAUUGUAAAGUGCUUUCAGCAGGGAAGAAAAAAAUGACGGUACCUGCAGAAGAAGCGACGGCUAAAUACGUG
rnacentral:rRNA from 1 species